CGCCCCCCGCGCAGGCGCCUGAGGAGACGCGCCCGGGCCCGCCCCGCCGCUCGCGGCCGCUGCCGAGGGGCGGGGGGGCGGGCACCGCCGGUGGGAGCUGCGCGGUUUUACCGAGGGGAGCGGGCCCGGCGGCGGGGAAAUGUAUGCAGUGAUUCAACGGUAACCAUCUCCAGUUGUAUAAAACUCAGUACAAGGACCCUGGAUGCAGUCCCCCAGCAGAGGUCUGCCUGCCUGUGCUGGAGGCCCGCACUGACGUGGCGUGGCUGUGUAACCCUGGAUCAGAUGUCUGCCAAAAGCUGGAGGGUGAGGAAGAGCUGUGCGAAGCCCUGCUGGAGCCUCCCGGCUUCACGGGGGAGCUGCAUUCAAGCUCCAGCUCUUGCCCUGGGCCCCUGCCUGUUUGCGGCUGUGCCCGCGCCCAAGUGAUGUACCUCCUGAGUCAGGCACCUGGCUUGGCCUGGGACCUGCCCUGUGGCCGCAGCCCUGUCUGGCAGACGCCGGGCACUGCCAGGGGACCGCUCUGCUCACCCUGCUGUGGCGUGGGGCACAGUGGGACCCCUGCCCUGGCCUGUCUUGUUGCCAGCCUCGGCUGUGGUUUGCCCACGCUGUGGAGCAUCCCGCUCCUCGCCGCAGGGAUCCCUGUGCAAGUCACAGGAUCCGAUGUGAACCUAGAAGAACAUCUGCUGGAUAUCAGGAUCCUUGAAUAAAAGUUACAUUGCUGAGACCCAAGAAUGAUGUUUUAUUAAACAAAACAAGCUACUCGUCACUAAACUGAUAUUAUUUUAGCUGCGGUUGCACAGUCUUUUCCUUCCAAAAGGGUCAGGUUAUAGACUGGCAUUUAAACUAGUUUAAAAUCAGCCAACACGUGUAACAUAAGCAGGUAUCUAAACUGAACGAACGAGAAGUCUGGUUAUAGAUGACGUUUAGCUAGUCACUCACUUCCAUACCUUCUCGAUUUCCUAGGCAUGCCUGGUGUGACAUCCAUUAGCGUGAAUGUAGGGGGAGGUUUAGACAUGCAGGUACCAUGCUGGGGGCAGGGCUUUGUGGCUGUCCUUGCUUUGAGCACUGACAUGCUUCCUCACACACCAGGUGUAUGUUCUGGAAAAUCCACAGCACAGGAUACAUUUGCAUGCAGAAAUACCCGUACACAGAAAUUUUUAUUUCAAUAGGAAUUUACUUCUAAAUAGGCUGGUCCUUGUCUUUAAAUGCUGGCAACAAAUACAAGAAUGCCUCUGCUGUGAGUCAUACACAUUAAAAAAAAAAAAAAGGGGAAUUCAUGACAGGCAUCACAGACGCUAUGGCUACCCAGUUAAAAGCAGAUUAAAGAGAGUCCACUUCUGCUGCCACAAAUUUGCAUGAUACUACUUGGGAUUGUAGGAAAAAAGUUAUAUUGCUGCCUAUACUAGGACAUAUGUUUCUUGAUUUGUCUAUAGUGAAAGAGCCCCCUAGACCUGCACUGUGGGUAAGUGAGCUGUCUCAGUGGGAAGAUGGAGACUCCAAACGGGGAACAAAACCCCUAUUCAUAAUUUCACUCGAAGAAAUUUUGUCUGUUCAAAGUGCCUGUGUACCAAAUCUGUACAUUCAGCUCUGUAACCAUUUCCAUUCUAGAAUAUAGAAAUGGUGUAAUACCUUUAUUUUUUUUUAAUUAUUAUUAAAAUACUGCUAAAUUGGCAUCUAAAUGUUGUUUUAUGAAAGUCCUAACUGCAACUUUAUGGAUUAGGGUAAACAAAUAUCAAAUUCCUUAUAUAGAUGUGUCAAAAGGCAAACAUCAAAUAAAUUAAUAACUACAGAAUUUGUUGGGAAGUAAUCUGAAGUUCUACAUGGGUUCAGUGAAUAUCACAGAGCAGUUAGAAGUUGUUCUGGAUAAUUCUUUGAAACAUUUUUUGGUUUUUUAAAUUAAAU